GACGAACGCUGGCGGCGUGCUUAAUACAUGCAAGUCGAACGGAAAGGCCCUGCUCUUGUGGGGUGCUCGUGUGCCGAACGGGUGAGUAUAACGCGAGUAACCUGUCCUUGACUUUGGGAUAACUUCUGGAAACUGGGGCUCUUAUCGCAUAGAAGCUCCUGCUGCAUGGUGGGGGAUGGAAAGUUUCGGCGUUUGGGGAUGGACUCGCGGCUUAUCAGCUUGUUGGUGGGGUAGUGGCUUACCAAGGCUUUGACGGGUAGCCGACAUGGGAGGGUGACCGGCGACAAUAGGACUAAGAGACGGACCAGAAGGCUACGGGAGGCAGCAGUGGAGAGUAUUGCAGAGUAGGCGGAAGCCAGAUGAGGCAGCGCCGCGUGCGGGAUGACGGGCUUCGAGUUGUGAACCGCUUUGGCCGGUGACGAAGCGUGAGUGACGGUAAUGGGUAAAGAAGCACCGGCUAACUACGUG
rnacentral:rRNA from 1 species